rnacentral:rRNA from 1 species
GACGAACGCUGGCGGCGUGCUUAACACAUGCAAGUCGAACGGAAAGGCCCUGCUUUUGUGGGUUUCUCGAGUGGCGAACGGGUGAGUAACACGUGAGUAACCUGCCCUUGACUUUGGGAUAACUUCAGGAAACUGGGGCUCAUACCGGAUAGGAGCUCCUGCUGCAUGGUGUGCGUUGGAAAGUUUCGGCGGUUGGGGAUGGACUCGCGGCUUAUCAGCUUGUUGGUGGGGUAGUGGCUUACCAAGGCUUUGACGGGUAGCCGGCCUGAGAGGGGGACCGGGCACAAUGGGACUGCGAGACGGAGCAGAAUGGUAAGGGGGGCAGCAGUGGGGAGUAUUGCACAAUGGGCGGAAGCCUGAGGCAGAGACGCCGCGUGCGGGAUGACGGCCUUCUGGUUGUAAACCGAUUUCGACUGUGACGAAGAGUGAGUGACGGUAAUGGGUAAAGAAGCACCGGCUAACUACGUG